rnacentral:rRNA from 1 species
GACGAACGCUGGCGGCGUGCUUAACACAUGCAAGUCGAACGGAAAGGCCCUGCUUUUGUGGGGUGCUCGAGUGGCGAACGGGUGAGUAACACGUGGGUAACCUGCCCUUGACUUUGGGAUAACUUCAGGAAACUGGGGCUAAUACCGGAGAGGAGCUCCUGCUGCAUGGUGGGGGUUGGAAAGUUUCGGCGGUUGGGGAUGGACUCGCGGCUUAUCAGCUUGUUGGUGGGGUAGUGGCUUACCAAGGCUUUGACGGGUAGCCGGCCUGAGAGGGUGACCGGCCACAUGGGGACUGAGAUACGGCCCAGACGCCUACGGGAGCCAGCAGUGGGGAAUAUUGCACAAUGGGCGGAAGCCUGAUGCAGCAACGCCGCGUGCGGGAUGACGGCCUUCGGGUGGUAAACCGCUUUCGCCUGUGACGAAGCGUGAGUGACGGUAAUGGGUAAAGAAGCACCGGCUAACUACGUG